GCUUAUCACCAUUCCAGAUUGAAUAUACCCGAUCUCGUCUGAUCUCGGAAGUCAAGCAAUCUCGGGCUUGGUUAGUACUUGGAUGGGUGA
rfam:Ciona savignyi cont_50514, whole genome shotgun sequence.